CACUUGUGUUGGGUGGAUGAGUGGCGAACGGGUGAGUAAUACGUGAGUGACCUGCCCUUGACUCUGGGAUAAGCCUGGGAAACUGGGUCUAAUACUGGAUACGACCAACGGAUGCAUGUCCUGUUGGUGGAAAGGGUUUGUACUGGUUUUGGAUGGGCUCACGGCCUAUCAGCUUGUUGGUGGGGUAAUGGCUUACCAAGGCGACGACGGGUAGCCGGCCUGAGAGGGUGACCGGCCACACUGGGACUGAGACACGGCCCAGACUCCUACGGGAGGCAGCAGUGGGGAAUAUUGCACAAUGGGCGCAAGCCUGAUGCAGCGACGCCGCGUGAGGGAUGACGGCCUUCGGGUUGUAAACCUCUUUCAGCAGGGAAGAAGCUUUUGUGACGGUACCUGUAGAAGAAGCGCCGGCUAACUACGUGCCAGCAGCCGCGGUAAUACGUAGGGCGCAAGCGUUGUCCGGAAUUAUUGGGCGUAAAGAGCUCGUAGGCGGUUUGUCGCGUCUGCUGUGAAAGCCCGGGGCUUAACUCCGGGUGUGCAGUGGGUACGGGCAGACUGGAGUGCAGUAGGGGAGACUGGAAUUCCUGGUGUAGCGGUGAAAUGCGCAGAUAUCAGGAGGAACACCGAUGGCGAAGGCAGGUCUCUGGGCUGUUACUGACGCUGAGGAGCGAAAGCAUGGGGAGCGAACAGGAUUAGAUACCCUGGUAGUCCAUGCCGUAAACGUUGGGCA
rnacentral:rRNA from 1 species